CAGUGUUGGAGAGUCUCCACCCAGCUGGGUCUCUGUCACAGGUGAGGAGGUUACCUUUGAUUUCAGGAGUUCAUUCAUCCAGAUAUUCACCUGACAGCUGAUUCUCUCUACAGAGAAACCAAAGACCUCAGGCCCACCAACCUCUGCAGCUCUGCCCUCGGCCUCAGACCGCCUCCACCUUCUGUUAAGACUAGUCGUCCACCUGGUGGUGUUUUGUCCGUACUGCAUCUCCACUUUCAUCAUGGUGUCUUUAUUUCAAGACAGAGCCACAGGGAAUUACCUGCCCAUCUCCGUGGUGACGACCCCACCCACCCAGGCUGAGGAGGGAUUGGAAGAUUUCACCACUGCUGUCAAAACAGAACAUCACUUCUGAACUGAGCUGAAAAGAAGCUCAAAUGUUUAGAGUCCUCCGUAGAUCAAAAACAGUGGAGGACCCAGAACACUUCUGUAUGGAACUCCACAUGUUGUAGUUAGUAGUGUAGGUCUCGGACUCUCUAACCUUAUCCCUAACUCUGCGUGUCAUAGUUUGACUUGCAUGUGUAGGUUGUUAAACUCUUAAGAGCGUUGUUCACAUUCUGCUGUGAGGUCUUGUUUAAUGUUUGUUUAGAAGUUUUUAAUUUCUCUGGAUCUGAUCAAAUAAAAUGAAGAGCAGCUUU